GCAAUAUGUCCUCUCAUUCUUGUUCAGCUUGUCCAAAUGGCAAAGAUUCUCUUGAAGGAUCAACUUAUCUGGCUGAUUGUUUUCAUGAACAUGGUUGUUACGAGGACAAUGUUUUUGGAGCUGGCAGUGUUCUAGGAGUGCUGAGACAGACAGACAUUAAAGCUUGCAUCCUGGGCUGUAGAUCGCAAGAUGGUUGCUCAAGAGUUUCUUUCGUUCAGAAUGGUACUUGUUGGCUGCACCAUGAGAGGGUCAUUGGCGAUGACCACUCUGAGUCAAGAAUUGGAGUAGUUUCAACCUCGUUAAAAUGUCUAGAUGGUUGCAAGCCAGGAUAUAAAUUUGAUGUUGCAAUCAAGAGAUGCUCAGUUUGCCCAUUGAACACUGCUUGCAAUGGACUAACC